AGCGAACGCUGGCGGCAGGCCUAACACAUGCAAGUCGAACGAACUCUUCGGAGUUAGUGGCGGACGGGUGAGUAACACGUGGGAACGUGCCUUUAGGUUCGGAAUAACUCAGGGAAACUUGUGCUAAUACCGAAUGUGCCCUUCGGGGGAAAGAUUUAUCGCCUUUAGAGCGGCCCGCGUCUGAUUAGCUAGUUGGUGAGGUAAAGGCUCACCAAGGCGACGAUCAGUAGCUGGUCUGAGAGGAUGACCAGCCACAUUGGGACUGAGACACGGCCCAAACUCCUACGGGAGGCAGCAGUGGGGAAUCUUGCGCAAUGGGCGAAAGCCUGACGCAGCCAUGCCGCGUGAAUGAUGAAGGUCUUAGGAUUGUAAAAUUCUUUCACCGGGGACGAUAAUGACGGUACCCGGAGAAGAAGCCCCGGCUAACUUCGUG
rnacentral:rRNA from 1 species